rnacentral:siRNA from 1 species
GUGCCGCUGACUCAGUCCCGGC